CGGAGGUGGAGCGGGGAGAUGCGUUAGGCCGGACGGCUAAAACGCGCCGCAAAAGUAGGGGAGAGAUUGCGCUGAGCCCACGCGAGCCCUGGGACGCUGGAGACAACGGGGCUCUUGGGAAGGCGCGGAGUCCGGGGAAGCAGGGCAUAUGCGCGUGGUCCGUGUCCGCAGAGUCUCCCCGCCUCCGCCCUCUUUCUUGGGUGGCUCUCCGCCUCGUCCACCCUCCAAGGGCCGUUGGUACAUUCCUAGUGACUCCAAGCGCUUAAAAGGGGCCCGGGAGGGUGAACCCCACAGAUCUGAACCUGAUUUAUGUGCGCGUCGCAUCUCCAACGAGCCCGGAUCCACUGCGCUGCCAGCGGCGGGGGGGUGGUUCUCUUGCUGUCUUUGCGACGACAUCCUUACGUUUUGGCACUCGAACGCUGGGUUUGUGCGUGUGUCUGCUUAGCGGUCUAGCGGGCUGUUAGGCUCUCUCGCCCCCAGCUCCUUGUUUGGCUCAGCUACUCUCACCGCAGCCCAGCAGUGAGACGCGCACGCAGCCGGCUCCGCACGAGAUGGAGCAGACCGAGGUGCUGAAGCCACGGACCCUGGCCGAUCUGAUCCGCAUCCUGCACCGGCUCUUCGCCGGCGAUGAGGUCAAUGUAGAGGAGGUGCAGGCCAUCAUGGAAGCCUACGAGAGCGACCCCACCGAGUGGGCUAUGUACGCCAAGUUCGACCAGUACAGGUAUACCCGAAAUCUUGUGGAUCAAGGAAACGGAAAAUUUAAUCUGAUGAUUCUCUGUUGGGGUGAAGGACAUGGCAGCUCGCCAAAGGAAGGAGAAAAGAGAAAAGCCUUGGGGAAAAAAACAUUAAAUGUUAAGUGGAUCUUCUCAAUGUGCAGUAUUCAUGAUCAUACCAACUCCCACUGCUUUCUGAAGAUGCUACAGGGAAAUCUAAAGGAGACAUUAUUUGCCUGGCCUGACAAAAAAUCCAAUGAGAUGGUCAAGAAGUCUGAAAGAGUCUUGAGGGAAAACCAGUGUGCCUACAUCAAUGAUGCAGGAGUAGGGGUGGAGAUGAAUAGUAAUCAGGGGGAAGGAUGUUUCAAGUACAAGGAAGAGCACAAGUGAAGAUUCCAUUGGCUUACAUCGAGUAGAGAACAUCAGCCAUACGGAACCUGCCGUGAGCCUUCACUUGUACAGUCCACCUUUCGAUACGUGCCAUGCCUUUGAUCAAAGAACAGGACAUAAAAACAAAGUCACCAUGACAUUCCAUAGUAAAUUUGGAAUCAGAACUCCAUAUGCAACUUCGGGCUCACUGGAGAACAAUUAAGGAGCACCAAACCCUCUGAGGUUUUACUUUAAGCCUCGCUGUAUGUUUGCCUUGGACAAAAAGGCUACCUACCAUGUGCUAUCCAGUAAUGUACUUAAAUAAGCCAAUACUUAGAUCUACUGUAAGGCAGAUGCUAAUUAUAAGCAUUAAGUAAGCAAGUAGUGCCCUCAGCUACUGCAGAAGAAAAGUCCCACUAAGGAAAAGAAAGUCUUGUGAUUUUUAAAGGCAAGUUUUCAAGUGUUCUCCUAGUUCUAUCCUCUGAUUCCAUUGAAUCCAUACUAUGAGCGUCAGUGAGGGUUUUCAUAGCUUUUGGAAAUACUUUGGUCUCUGAACUGUAAUUAGCAAGAAGUAAAAACAGACACCUCAAACAUCAAAAGCUUGCUUUGUUACCUGGAGGACUAACCGUAGAUGUCUUUAGUAUACUUUGUAUGUUCUUAAUAUUGGAAGAUAAUUUUGUGAAUCUGUAGAUUUUAUUUUUUCAGUCUUACCUUACGAAUUUCUUUUCUAUGAAUAAUAGAGAGGAACUUACAGCACUCUGCCAUUGGGUAAUGAAAGGAAGUGCAGAGGAUUUAGAAAAGUACAUGCUCCCCAAACCACAACAAACCAAAACAUAAACUCACGUCUGUGUCCCAUGGUCAUAGUCAAAGAUUUUGUACGGCUAAAAUUGCAAAAUAAUUUUAAUAAAGUGGAUUUGAACACAA